UACGAGGGGUGCAAGCGUUGCUCGGCAUUAUUGGGCGUAAAGGGUAGGUAGGUGGUCUCAUUUGUCUGGGGUGAAAGCCUUGAGCUUAACUCAAGAAGUGCCCUAGAAACGGUGAGACUGGAGUCUUGGAGAGGGUCGUGGAAUUUCCGGUGUAGCGGUGAAAUGCGUAGAGAUCCGGAAGAACACCAGUGGCGAAGGCGGCCCGCUGGGCAGUGGCUGACGCUGAGGCGCGACAGCGUGGGGAGCAAACAGG
rnacentral:rRNA from 1 species